rnacentral:rRNA from 1 species
UACGUAGGAAGCAAGCGUUGUCCGGAAUCACUGGGCGUAAAGCGCGUGUAGGCGGUAUGGCAAGUCUGCUGUGAAAGCUCUCGGCUUAACCGGGAGAGGUCGGUGGAAACUGCCACACUGGAGGACGGUAGAGGGGGGUGGAAUUCCCGGUGUAGUGGUGAAAUUCGUAGAUAUUCGGAAGAACACCAGUGGCGAAGGCGACUUACUGGACACAUAUUGACGCUGAGGUGCGAAAGCGUGGGGAGCAAACAGG